AUUGAACGCUGGCGGCAUGCUUUACACAUGCAAGUCGAACGGUAACAGGGAGCUUGCUCCGCUGACGAGUGGCGAACGGGUGAGUAAUGCGUCGGAACGUGCCGAGUAGUGGGGGAUAACGCAGCGAAAGUUGUGCUAAUACCGCAUACGUACUGAGGUAGAAAGUGGGGGGCCUUCGGGCCUUCCGCUAUUCGAGCGGCCGACGUCUGAUUAGCAAGUAGGUGAGGUAAAGGCUCACCUAGGCGACGAUCAGUAGCGGGUCUGAGAGGAUGAUCCGCCAGACUGGGACUGAGACACGGCCCAGACUCCUACGGGAGGAAGCAGUGGGGAAUUUUGGACAAUGGGCGAAAGCCUGAUCCAGCCAUGCCGCGUGUAUGAAGAAGGCCCUCGGGUUGUAAAGGACUUUUGUCGGGGAGGAAAUCCCCAGCGCUAAUACCGCUGGGGGAUGACAGUACCUGAAGAAUAAGCACCGGCUAACUACGUGCCAGCCGCCGCCGUAACAC
rnacentral:rRNA from 1 species